GGGAUUGUGGCUCAAUGGUAGAGCACUUGCCUUGCAUGUAUGAGGCACUGGGUUCAAUCCUCAGCACCA
rnacentral:tRNA from 1 species